rnacentral:misc_RNA from 1 species
UGCAUGUUGUCACGGUUUCCCUGUUAUUACAAAAUUGCUUUUCAGAAUAGAUAAGGUUAAACCGUUUAAGUCUUCGAGCUGAGGGCUGUAUUUGACUGGGAUAUUUCCCUUACGACCCUUAGACAUCAUUGUACUACUUUCAACGAUGAUGGAAGGCAUUCUUUUGUGACUGAUCCAUCAUUGAAAUGGAUCACUAGCGUUGAAUGAAGGAAAAAGGGAAGAACUCUUCUUCGCGUAAAGCAAUAGAAUUCCUGCAUGCUUCAUAAUAAACGAAUAAUGAACAAAAUACGUGGAAAAUCCGAAUACGGGACACCAUCAAUCUUGCGGCUGUUUUUCGAACGCCAUACUGCGUAAUAAAAUAAAGCGGACAAUGAAUUUGCAAGGGAACGAACGUUCAAUUCCUGCGGCCCAUCAAACGUACGCUUUCCUGCGCUCCCAUGGUUAACGAUCAACCACGCGACAAACCGAUAACAACGUACAAAUUUUAAUUAGCAUUCGAUGGCGCCCAGUGUAUUUAAUUGUUGCGCCAAAUUACCACGGUCCGUGACUUCACAGCGGUUCGGCUGAACCAACGCGUAACAAGAUUGUCAGAUUUCUAAUUUCGAUGCGUCGCAUGUUAAUUAACUUCUUGCCUUAUAACAUCUCAUUACACUCGUGGUACAGAUUAUGGUUGUUGCAAAUUAUAUUUUUAAUAGAGUUUG